AGAAGUGCACCAAAUAAACUUCUGAAUAAAAGAACAAAAAUGGAAAUUCAAAACCAAUAUACGGAUGUCCCUUACACAGGCAAAAUGGGCACUAGUCUAGUUCUAGUUUAAGAAUUCAGUUUUUUUGUUGCUGAAUUCAUUUUCAAAAUACUGCAAAGAAUCUACACAUCAUAUCAAAAAUGGAAAUUAAGCAUCUUAGAGACAAGAGCUUUUUUAUCAAAGGGAACUAGACUUAACUGAAAGUAGGUUCAGAAUCAUUUUUGACCUUUUGUUCCACCGGAGGUAGCAGAAGUGACUUUGUGGUUAGUCGCUGUGUUGCGAUGCACAAGUUAGGGUGGAAGUACCACUGCCCUGUCAGUGCACUCUGUGGGUCUCGCUCCCACACUUUCACAAAUAUGCAAACACACACACACUUUAUGGGCCGAGCAAUAAUUACUGAAGAAGCAAAAGUAAAUCAGCAAUUGUUGAAUGUGUUAUGCAUCGUUGCAGUCCAUGAAGCUCCCCUGUAUCCAUAUUCUACAGUGUGUAUCAACGUGUGUUGAUGUGUCUGCGCGCACAAAUAGAAACUUCAGGGUCCAAACAGCAAAUGUUUGCCCCAAGCCGGUCUCAUUCAGCCGUGGCUUGACGUCAGUAAACAAACAUGUCAGACUUUCAGCAAAAUGUGCUUGUGAAAUCAAGCAGGCCUAGAUUGCAGAAUUACUAGAAAAGUGAUCUAUGAGAAACUCACAGGAGGUACCAGUAAUCUAUCAGGGAGGCUGACUGUGGUUAGAGGCCACUUACUGGAGGUUCCACCUUGGCUGACUGAGCGCUGAGUAUGGGCAUGGUUUUAUCAGACUUACCGAGUGCUGCAUAACAAAGGGAGUGUUUGGAGAAUGGGUAUGCGCUGUAUUGUUGAAAAUGAGUGUGACUGAGAGGUUAGACACCAUAUGGCAAUGAAGUCAUCUGGCCUGGCCCUUCCCUGGAAGCCCCACCCGAGCCCCGGCGAGAGACACGGGGCGCCGAACAAGAGAAGAAAACAGUUUUUAAUCGAUUAUGAUAACCACUAUCUAAAUCAAGCCCCUUCACUAUCCCUUCCUCCCUUGCUGCACUCCUCCUCCCCUCGCUCACCUCUCCCACUUUCAUUUUUUCCACCUCACCCCGGGGUAUUCUGCUUUCUUGGCAGAACACCGGGUCAAGCCACCUGCAAUCCCCCGGCCCCUCCUUAAUCACUCAUAUUCACUCACAAUGCAAAACAUGCACAGGCGAAAACUCUCUCAAUCAGCCAGACACACAAAAUAAAACUCACACACAUUGCAAGAUGCAUUUUGAGUAUGUGCACAUUGCACGCUGUUUCCUCUUGAGAGGCUGUUAACUCUGUUCUGAGAUGUGGAUUUUAUCAGGGCCAGGAUACAUGAUACUUUAUCUGCACUUUUUUUUGCCUUUGAAUAAUUUCUUCCCUUCAAGUGGCAUGUGUAUUCACAUACACAGUGAAGAGCAGCAGCUGCCUCUUCCACGAGGAACUCAUCUGAAUAUGCCCUACAGCACAUCAGAAAGUAGACCAAGGUGACAAAAUGGGAUAUUCCAUAAUAUUUGACCUCUUUCUCUCAGCUGCCAUCCUCUGAUUGGCCCUUGUCAUCCCUCUCUGCUCAAUCCCAUGAGCUGUGUUUAUAUUGUACUCUCCUUUUCACAUACUUUCUGCUUUCUCCACCUCUCACCCAUGUUACAAAUACUGAUGGAUGCCUGGCUAUUUUAACCUGUGCGGAAGCUUUCAAGUAAGGUCACUUUUACCAUUUAUAGCCUGCAGAGAAUGUAACCUGAUCACACUAAUAUCUCUUGCCUGUAAAUCUCAGGCAGAGGAGCCACACUGUAUGAAGAUGGCUGUAGAUUUUAUUCUCAACAUCCAAACCCAAGUUUUACAUUACAAGCACUUAGAGGACUAAAACAUAAUCCAGAGUUUCGUGUCACUAUCCAAUAAUAAUCCACACUGUGAUAAGUACCAUGCCACAGCUGCAUUAGUCUUCAUCUACUGUCCCUGCUAUGACUAUGCCAAAUCCCACAUGGCCACAGUUACCAGAAAAAUGAAUAAAUGAAUAAUACAUUUUCCAUGGUUUGAAAUGUUUAAAUUCCACACCGUCAUCUCUGGCAGGACCUGUAUCUCUGCCUGAUAAACCAAAGGGCUGCGCUGACAGGAACCGGCUGAGACCGGCCUGUGAUUGGUCACGUUGAUUUGCCACGGGUCAUGAGGAUGAAUUGAUUCAAUUUGACAAAAGGCAAGGCAGAAUUCUUUUGCUUAGCGGGACUUCACUGGGCCGCCAGCUCUGCUUAGUGUGCAUAGCGCAGUGUCGCGGGGCGCAGGUCUGACACCCCUGUGUUUGACUGAUUAUAACCAGUGGUCACUGGGUAGUCUCAUGUCUCUCCUUACUGCCUGGGACAAACUCAUGAGUGGUGGAUGGACUCAUUGAUUGAGUGAUAGCUCAUCUUGGCGGCCUGCCGCGUCAACGAAAGACCGAGGUGCACCUUUAUCGUGUUUCUUCUUGGUUCAUUUGACGGGUGACCAUGCUUAUGUAGCAGUAUGGAAAUGGGAUUGUCCUGCUACAGUUAACUGCGCCUGCCGACUACUAGGGCGGCGGUAGUAUAUAAAGGCUGCCCCCCUUCUCGCGGCCCACUGAUGCAUCAUUUCCGGGUCAGGUGUCUGUCUGCGCAGAGUAGCGACAGAGUGCUCCGUGCACCGUGCUCCUUUUUGCUCUUUGGUCCUCUCAACCGGUGGUAAGUGUCCUCUCUCUCCGCGCUAGACCGAACAAUAUUCUGUAGCUAAUGUUAUUGUGGUGACAGGUAGAUGUCUUCCUGCCGUGUGGGUCUUUCUCUCCCUCCCUCUCAUCAGUUGAUUGGGACCACUGCUGCUUUGACUGCUGCUUUGCCUGCUGCUAAAUGCAACUUUGUCUGUAACUGUCUGCACUGUUAAAUGCUGCUAAGUGCAUAGUUUGAUCUAGUUUGCAUAAUUGUACAUUUUUGGUUUAAUUCUCUUGUAACCUUCUUUUUUUGGGUUAUCCUUCCUACCGGCUGUAGGCUGGUGGUGGCGCCGGUGGCGUGGGUGGUUGUGGUCUUCCUCGUGUGUCGUGUCCCAUUGGAUUUUUGUGCUUUUACUGGGUGAACUCUGGUUUGUUUUCUCUAAGUUCGUUUUAUUAAUUUUCCUUCCCCUUCACCGGCCCUUCUCACCGUAAGGCUUUAGCGAUUAGUUUUCUUAUUUUGUGAUGAAUGUUAGAUUUUAUGGUAAUGUACAUUUAUUGAAUAAAAAUGCUUUUGUAAACUGGGAACCACAAGCCCUUGCCCAGUGCUGUAGUGGUAAAAUUAGAGGUGGGUAAACUCUGAAUUU
ensembl:lncRNA